UGAAUUUGCAAUGUUCUGGAUAGAAAGUUCUGCUCCCCUCUCACCACUCUCCACUCUCUACAAAGAUAAAAGUUAGGGGGUGUGGUUAAUUUUUGUGAAAGCCUGUCAGAAUACAGGACAGCACUGAGAACUUGUGGAGAUUCCCUGACAGCAGAUUCUGGGGAGAAGAAAUCCUCCUUGGAAGGUCCAGGCCAUCCCUGCCAGGCUUGUUGGAGAGCUACAGCCCCGAGCCUGGGAGGGCAGUUACUAAUCAGUCAGUCACGGCAGCAUCAAGCAAGCAGAGAAGGAAGGGAAUAAAAUGCACUGGAUGAAAAUAACAAGACUCUCACAGAUGAGAAGCCAGACAUCAAAGGACUAGCCAAGAGCCUGGUUGUAUUGUAGAACCCAAGAACCAGGCAGAACUCAUCAUUCACAAUAGACAAGUUGUUGAGGCAACCCAAGUGCCCAUUGACAGAAGAAUGGAUAAAGAAGAUGUGGCAUAUAUACAAUGGCAUAUUACUCAGUCACAAAAAAAGACAAAAUCGUGCCAUUUGCAACAACAUGGAUGGAACUUGAGGGUAUUAUGUUAAGUGAGUCACUACUAAGUACCUGAAUAUGGAAGAAGUGAGAAAGAAAGAGGAAAAGGAGAAGAGGGGAAAAUAAGAUGCUGUCAGAUACGGGCAGGAGAAAUCCUUUAGAGCGCUUUGUGACCACCCAGAAGUAGAAGAAUAAAACUAACGCUAUUAAAAAGCAAUGGAAUCCCUGCCUACUGCUGUUUCUCUGCCUCACAAACCUUUUUUCCCCUUUAAAUGCAACAAUAUAUUAACACUCUGUCAGUUGAAGAGUGCUUUAUAAAUGGUAGAUGCUGUUUCUUGCUUAAACAACUGCUCUGAGUGCCUGAUAGAGCUAUAGGCACACCUGUUUAAAGCUCUGCAAG
rnacentral:lncRNA from 1 species